ACUUCAGAGGAUCCAACUGUAUAUUAGCUGUUCAACAUAUGGCUGCUGAAUGAGAACUUACAUCAAAUGUCGUGCACAGAAUCUCUACAGCUACCCCACCUCUUUCUUUCAAGGUGGGAGUUAUUUCUUGGAGCAUUUCAACGUGUUCUUGACUCCGAACCUGACCCAUAGCUUGGACUAAUGUGAACAGCACCGUCUGGAUGCUGUCUUGCCACGACUUGUACUCGCCCAGGAACUGCCUGACGCUGCUCUCGUAGGGGACGUCUUCGCCGUCCGCCAGGGCCGCCUCUUCAUCCUGGAGCCCACAUGUUCAUGAUGGACAGAAAUGGCAUUUGUCUCAAGAAUAACUCAUAAGACAGUCACAUUUUGAGUAACAGGUAAUAAGUGUUUUUCCAAUACAUGUUUAAUUUGUUUGUCGUAAUUAACUCCUUUUCUACAGGAAUCUUGUUUCCAGUAAAAAAUAAAAAGUCCUAGUAAAAGUAAA